rnacentral:tRNA from 1 species
GUAGGGUAGUAUCCUACAACUCUUA